rnacentral:rRNA from 1 species
UAGUCCACGCAGUAAACGAUGAGUGCUAGUUAUUGGGAUCUUUGAUUUCGGUGGCGAAGCUAACGCGUUAAGCACUCCGCCUGGGGAGUACGGCCGCAAGGCUAAAACUCAAAGGAAUUGACGGGGACCCGCACAAGCAGUGGAGCAUGUGGUUUAAUUCGAUGCUACGCGAAAAACCUUACCAGCUCUUGCAUCCUAGUUUUGAUUUUCAGAGAUGAAUAUCUUCAGUUCGGCUGGACUAGUGACAGGUGUUGCAUGGCUGUCGUCAGCUCGUGUCGUGAGAUGUUAGGUUAAGUCCUUCAACGAGCGCAACCCUCAUCCUUAUUUGCCAUCAGGUUAUGCUGGGAACUAUAAGGAAACUGCCAACGACAAGUUGGAGGAAGGUGGGGGACGAUGUCAAGUCAUCAUGGGCCCUUAUGGGGCU